GUUUUCGUGGCCUAGUGGUUAGGGCGUCUGUCUUACAAUACUAUUGCGAGUGUGUCACACAGAAGAUCGCCGGUUCGAACCCGGCCGAAAACA